GAGAGUUGACAAGGUACACAGCCCCUCCAAAGCUGUCCGAACCUCACCCCUCUUGCUGCACAGGACCUGUGGAUGCUGGACCCAUCACCCUUGGAUUAUAGUCCCUUCAGGCUGCAGUAACAAGCGGGCCCAGCCCAGCUGGCUUGGAAGCAAUAGGACUGUUUUUCUUGGUUCUGGAGGGCAGAGGUCAAGGAUCGAGGCCAGCAGAGUCUGCAUUAGGUGCUGGGGAUCAAGUCCAGGGCCUCACACAUGCUAGGCCAGUGAUCUACCACUGAGCAUAAUGUGUAAUGUGCAGCAAAGAGCCCCUAGCAUCCUGGGUCUGGGGCCACAGGACCCACGGGAGUUCACAGCAGCCCCGCCUCCCCUCGGCCCUCUGCCGGGAUGUGCCCAGCCACACACUUCUCAGCCCUCUGCCGGGGCUGCUGGGUGGUUUGGAGUCUCAGCUCUCACCUUCCUUCCCUGGCACAAUGACCACUAUUCACGCCCUAGAGCGGGCUGAGGGGUCUUGGAGACACUGUCCAGUCUCAUGGCCCUGGAUAGAGUUGUCCCUGGAUCUCCUGGUCUCAGGGCCUGUUGACCCCUUGGCCUCUCCACAUGGACAUCCAGCUGGCUAGGAAAACGAGCAUCCCACAUGCUGCCAUGGUCUUCAGGGGCCUGGCCAGCUCUCCAGGUCUCCCUGGGAUAUCAUCACCCAUGCCCGUUGUGGUUACCGGUCCCUUUGCAGAACUGAACAGCAGGACAUCAGCAGAUAAACCGCUCCACAUCUCAGCAGAAGGCUCCUCAAGAAGGAACUAGAAAGCUUGUCCAGGAGUAAUGGGCCUGAUGCCCUACCAGGCCACUUGCUUGGUUUCUCUUAUUUUUCUGUGAUAAAAUGCAUAUAAAAUAUU